UUUGGAAAGAGAUGGCUGAACUCUUGUUUGUUUAUCAAGAUGGAAGAUAAGAUGUCAGUUAUUCUAAUCCCAUUAAACUGUUCUAUUUUUUCUUCUCCCUUUAUUUUUAGGUUGCUUGUGUAAUACCAGUUCACACUGCUGUUCUGCAGCCCCAUUUCCCUUUGAAUCCCUUGGUGAUAAAUCAGCCUCACUCCCCCCAUCAGAUGGCUGUUCUGCAAAGUGGAAUAAAAGCCUGCAUGGAGCAUCCCUGUAGACGUUGAGACUAAAUAUGGAUUCAGCAAGGCAUGAAGCCUGGAUACUGUUACAAGUUGCUGUUUUCUGCCCUCCCUGAAAUUUUCUGUUUCCCCUUUAGGACUGUGAGAUGGCCAGAUGGGUCCGAUCAAAUACGAGAUGAGGAGAAUGCGUAGGAAAAGCACAUUCAGCUAUUCCAGGAACAAAAUCCAGGGCUUCAGGACUACUGGAAAGCCAGUUUCUUCGUAACUGUCUUCCAGAUCUUAAAAUUGUUUUGGAUUGUUUGGGGAUUUAGGUUGUUUGGGGAUUUAGGUUGUUUGGGAUUGUUUUGGGGUGGUUGGGUGGUUGGGGGGAACUCCUCCCCUUUUCAUUCCCUCUGGCUGUUCUCCAGGUUUACAGUCAUGUCGCUACACUAUGUCAACAGUCCGGAUGCAACCCCUCAGCUGUCUUGUGCAACACUGCAUUUCUUCCUGAAGAACCAGGAAAACACAACUGAAUUUUCAGGAACCAGCAGUGACAGAAAGUUGAGCUGAGCCUACUUUGCUUGAAUGCUUUUUCAGAACGUGCAGUGCCCAUAAACGUGUUCUUUGCUGUCCCACGUGCCAGAAAUUCCAGAGGCUGCACUGCAGCUACCCAGGGCAAGGGAUAAAAUAACAGGAAAGUCAUCAUCCUUCCUCAGGGUCAAGUUUUCUACUGAAGUAGGAAUAGGUUGGAAAGGAUCUCUGCAAGUUAUCUGGACUUACUGGGUGGAGUUUCUUUUACAUCAGGUGUGGAAACUGAGUUGCAGGGCUGUGCUCAGAGCAAGCUGAGAAUCACAGACCUGUCAUCAGGUGUGAGAACCAGGAAACCUUUGAGUUCUGACUCUGUCAUGAACAGAAGUAUCAUAGCCUUUAUUCCUUAAAUGAUCCAUAAAUUAAAAUCAAAAGAAAGAAAAAAGAAAAAGCAAGGGUGAGAAUAUAAAGGGAAAUGGAUUUUGUUGCUAACCAAGUGAUAUCUGUAUGGGUGGAAUCAAAAUAGCUUCAAAUAGCAUAGGAAAUGCACCCAUUCCUGUCAGCCAGCAAACCAACCCACUAGGGACAGCAAAUCCCCCUGUAGCUGAAUCCCAGAGCUCAUGGGCAUGAUAUGUCUCCUGUGGGCUGUUGUAGUCAGCCCUGUCAAAUCCAAAAUCUUCCCUCCCUGCCUCUCUCCCAGUUGUAUUCUCUUUCUCCACCAAUUGCUAGAGAAAAAGAAAAAAGACAAUUGCUGUAGAGCUGUAUCAGAGAUGCCAAUAUAAUUAUUUUUUUCUCUUUUUUUUCCUUUUGUUUUUUUGGACAUUGCAUCUGUGGAGGAAGGAGGGGAGGACAGGGAGUUGCAAAGGCAGGGGCAGCUGAAGAGGGAAAGGAGGGGGAGAAGAAGAGAAAAUAUUUCCUUUGGCGAUUCUGUUUCGCUUUUGAAAAAGGACUACUUUCCUCACUCCUUAUCCCUCCUGACAAGUACAAGCACUUUGGGCCCUAACUGGAUGUGAACAUUGUCAAAAGGAAUUUGGGCUAAAGGGAGGCAUCUGCAGUUCUGUUCCUAUUGCGCUCGGUGCUGGAGCCACUUUUGUGAAUGUGGCAGGGUGGCUGGUGGGCAGACACCAGUACAGAUGGGAACUUCACAUACUGUAUGCAUCAUGACCAACUAUAAAAACAGUCACAACGCAUCACUUGUUACCCGACCAGGCUCCCUGGAACCUUCACUUCCAAUUUCCAUCUCGCUGACAUUCACAGCUUACACUGAGCUUUUAUGUUUAAGCAUCAGUACAGUAUUAAUGCAGGAGAAAAAGGGUGGCUGGGCUACCACAGCAAGGAAUUAAACCUCUGAUCUCGACCAGACGUUGGAAGGGAGGAGCAAUUCAAGGGGAAUUGUGUAACUGGACUCUACGGAAAAGGUGCGGGGGGAAAGCAGGGGAUGGGAGUCGGGAAUAUUUUUCGAUGCCGUGAACACACAGCAAGUCAGGAGGAUUCUGAAAAAGAAACAUAGCAAGCAGGCACUCUCCCAAAUUGUAAUUUAAUGCUUGGAAUAAUCCUAAUGUGUCAGCUACUCACCGCCAAAGAACUGAGGAUAAAUAUAACUUUAAAAAAAAAAAAUUAAGGGGAUGGCAAUUUGAACAGCUUAAUGUUUCUUCAAAGGCUGAGUGAUGGAAAGCAGCGCUGAGGUAAAUUGACAACUCGGAAUUAACUGGGUGCUGGCACAACUCAGCCAGCGCUGCCGAUGCUGUCAAGGUGGAGAUUCGAGCUUUAUGUACAGUGCCUGCAGCCCUGCCAUGAUUUAUAGGAACUGCAGCUCAAGUCUGAACCAAGAGGAAGCAAAAAUCUCCAAGUCAAAUGGCAGACUCUUAAAUUUGCUACAGCAGAGCCCUGACAUAUGGUUGGUUUGCAAGGAGUUACAAAGCUCGGUGGAUGCCAGUGAAUUCAGCCAUUUAAUGCUGAAAUAACACCAGAUU